UGACAAUGGAGAGGUUUGGGUUUGUUAUUUAUGUAACAUUGAAUGUGUAGGGUACAGUAAGAGUGUUGAAUGUGUAGAGUAAGAGUGUUGAAUGUGUAGGGUACAGUAAGAGUGUUGAAUGUGUAGAGUAAGAGUGUUGAAUGUGUAGGGUUCAGUUAGAGUGUUGAAUGUGUAGAGUAAGAGUUUUGAAUGUGUAGGGUACAGUUAGAGUGUUGAAUGUGUAGGGUUCAGUAAGAGUGUUGAAUGUGUAGGGUACAGUUAGAGUGUUGAAUGUGUAGAGUAAGAGUGUUGAAUGUGUAGGGUACAAGUGUUGAAUGUGUAGGGUACAGUAAGAGUGUUGAAUGUGUAGAGUAAGAUAAGAGUGUUGAAUGUGUAGGGUACAGUAAGAGUGUUGAAUGUGUAGAGUAAGAGUGUUGAAUGUGUAGGGUUCAGUUAGAGUGUUGAAUGUGUAGAGUAAGAGUUUUGAAUGUGUAGGGUACAGUUAGAGUGUUGAAUGUGUAGGGUUCAGUAAGAGUGUUGAAUGUGUAGGGUACAGUUAGAGUGUUGAAUGUGUAGAGUAAGAGUGUUGAAUGUGUAGGGUUCAGUUAGAGUGUUGAAUGUGUAGGGUUCAGUUAGAGUGUUGAAUGUGUAGGGUUCAGUAAGAGUGUUGAAUGUGUAGGGUUCAGUAAGGUAUUCUGCCUUCC
ensembl:lncRNA